rnacentral:rRNA from 1 species
UACGGAGGGUGCAAGCGUUAAUCGGAAUAACUGGGCGUAAAGCGCACGCAGGCGGUUAGAUAAGUCAGAUGUGAAAUCCCCGGGCUCAACCUGGGAACUGCAUUUGAAACUGUCUGACUAGAGUCUUGUAGAGGGGGGUAGAAUUCCAGGUGUAGCGGUGAAAUGCGUAGAGAUUGGGAGGAACACCAGUGGCGAAGGCGGCUUUCUGGACAAAGACUGACGCUCAGGUGCGAAAGCGUGGGGAGCAAAC